rnacentral:rRNA from 1 species
GGGGUAAGCGUUGUUCGGAAUUACUGGGCGUAAAGGGCUCGUGGGCGGCCAACUAAGUCAUACGUGAAAUCCCUCAGCUUAACUGGGGAACUGCGUGUGAUACUGGAUGGCUUGGAUGUGGGAGAGGGAUGCGGAAUUCCAGGUGUAGCGGUGAAAUGCGUAGAUAUCUGGAGGAACUCCGGUGGCGAAGGCGGCAUCCUGGACCAUUAUUGACGCUGAGGAGCGAAAGCGUGGGGAGCGAACAGG